rnacentral:rRNA from 1 species
UACGUAGGGGGCUAGCGUUGUCCGGAAUCAUUGGGCGUAAAGAGCGUGUAGGCGGCUAUUUAAGUCCUGCGUGAAAUCCUGCGGCUCAACCGCAGACGGUCGUGGGAAACUGGAUGGCUAGAGUGCGGGAGAGGAGAGUGGAAUUCCCGGUGUAGCGGUGAAAUGCGCAGAUAUCGGGAAGAACACCCGUGGCGAAGGCGGCUCUCUGGAACGCAACUGACGCUGAGACGCGAAAGCGUGGGGAGCAAACAGG